GUGAAUCAUCGAAUCUUUGAACGCACAUUGCGCCCGCUGGCAUUCCAGCGGGCAUGCCUGUUCGAGCGUCAUUUCGACCACUUAAGCCCCCGUUGCUUAGCGUUGGGAGCCCACCGCCGCUCGCCGGCGGUCGCUCCCCAAAGACAGUGGCGGAGCCGGGUUCGUGCUCUAGGCGUAGUAGAUCUCUCUCGCCUGCAGCCGGCCCCGGCCCCCUGCCGUAAAAACACUUACACUAAAUGGUUGACCUCGGAUCAGGUAGGAAUACCCGCUGAACUUAAGCAUAUCAAUAAGCGGAGGA
rnacentral:misc_RNA from 1 species